AAGAGAAACAAAAUAUUCAAAGAAAGAAUUUGCUUAUAAAAUAAUAUGAUCAAUCAAUCAAAGAGCUAAACUACUACUCCAAGAAUAUCAGUGCUACGAUUUGAACUCUUAACGUUUUGUAUGAUGAGAUAGACACUCAAUUAUUUUCCUAGCCCAACAGCAUCAACAUUUUUAUUUUGAAUAUUCUUUCUUCGUAUUAUUU
rnacentral:misc_RNA from 1 species